UAGUGUUGUACUUACUCUUAAUGUACAACACUUUGGAUAAAAGCAUCUGCUAAGUGAAUUGUAACAUGUGAAUGUUUGUCACCAUUAUACACAAUAUGUUUGCAGUCACAUGAGGGACUCAUCUGUCUGUGCCCACCAUCUCAUGAAAUGACAACUUCCUCUUUCCUUGAAGGAGGGGCCUCGAGUUCUCCAAAAAGACUGGAAACUGGAAACCAAAAAAAACAAAAACAAACCUGAGAUCCCUCGUCUGAAAGGGCAGCAGAGGAUUGAGGAGUUUGAACACAUUCUGCUCAGCUUCGCCUUCCCUUCACUUUACAACAGUUACAACAAGUUGUGUUGUAAACUGUACCCAGGAGGAUGUUACAAGCUGAUGGACAGUGCAGGAUUUACCUGCGAUUUACUGAAAGGAAGAGUGACGAAGACUGAGAAAAACGGCUUGAUAGAGUUUAAGAUAUCCAAUGUGCGGGUUGUGGAUGGAGGGUUUUAUAGAUGUAUUGUUCUGGGAACUGAAAACCACAUCUACACAGAUUACUAUAUCGAGAUAUCUGAGGCUUCAGGACAUCACAGCCAGUCUCAUCCUUCACUGACAACAACAAUCAAAGCACCAAACACCUCCACAACACUUCCAGGAUCCACUAGGCCUGCUGUGGCACAGGACCACAUUGACAGUCCCAGGUUUUGACUCUGCACAUUCAUUAUCUGUUGCUCUCUG